rnacentral:rRNA from 1 species
CUGCGAACGGCUCAUUAAAUCAGUUAUCGUUUAUUUGAUAGUACCUUACUACUUGGAUAACCGUGGUAAUUCUAGAGCUAAUACAUGCUAAAAGUCCUAAUCCUUUCGGAUGGGACGUAUUUAUUAGAUAAAAAACCAAUGCCUUUGGGCUUCUUGGUGAUUCAUGAUAACUUUACGAAUCGCAUGGCCUUGUGCCGGCGAUGGUUCAUUCAAAUUUCUGCCCUAUCAACUUUCGAUGGUAGGAUAGUGGCCUACCAUGGUUUCAACGGGUAACGGGGAAUUAGGGUUCGAUUCCGGAGAGGGAGCCUGAGAAACGGCUACCACAUCCAAGGAAGGCAGCAGGCGCGCAAAUUACCCAAUCCCGACACGGGGAGGUAGUGACAAUAAAUACUGAUACAGGGCCCAUUUGGGUCUUGUAAUUGGAAUGAGUACAAUUUAAAGCCUUUAACAAGGAACAAUUGGAGGGCAAGUCUGGUGCCAGCAGCCGCGGUAAUUCCAGCUCCAAUAGCGUAUAUUAAAGUUGUUGCAGUUAAAAAGCUCGUAGUUGAACCUUGGGUCUGGGUGACCGGUCUGCGUCCCCGCAUGCACUGGAAACCCGGAUCUUUCCUUCUGGAGAAUCGCAUGCCCUUCACUGGGUGUGUCGGGGAACCAGGACUUUUACUUUGAAAAAAUUAGAGUGUUCAAAGCAGGCAUUUGCUCGAAUACAUUAGCAUGGAAUAAUAGAAUAGGACGUGCGGUCCUAUUUUGUUGGUUUCUAGGACCGCCGUAAUGAUUAAUAGGGAUAGUCGGGGGCAUCCGUAUUCGAUUGUCAGAGGUGAAAUUCUUGGAUUUUUCGAAGACGAACUACUGCGAAAGCAUUUGCCAAGGAUGUUUUCAUUAAUCAGGAACGAAAGUUGAGGGAUCGAAGACGAUCAGAUACCGUCGUAGUCUCAACCAUAAACUAUGCCGACUAGGGAUCGGGCGAUGUUUAAAUCUGACUCGCUCG